rnacentral:lncRNA from 1 species
CCUUGUUCUUAAUAACAAUUUUAUGUGGGUAAUUAUUUUUGUCAUCCUUGAAAACUUUGUAAUGUAAUCUUACAUGACAUGGGUUGCUUAUGAUGUAUGUAUUCUUGUUAUUUUUUAGUUGAUAUAUCAAAAAUACAAGAAAGUAUCUAAUCUCUCCAUAUUUUUGUGGUUCAUAUCUGCACAGAUGAUCCAAGUCCACCCAAAAACUACUUUAGAGG